UAGGGAAUCUUGCGCAAUGGGGGAAACCCUGACGCAGCAACGCCGCGUGAGUGAGGAAGGCCUUCGGGUUGUAAAGCUCUGUCAUGAGGGACAAAAGAUCACAUCUCUAAUAGGGUUGUGAUUUGAUGGUACCUCAAGAGGAAGCACCGGCUAACUUCGUGCCAGCAGCCGCGGUAAUACGAAGGGUGCGAGCGUUGUUCGGAAUUAUUGGGCGUAAAGGGCGUGCAGGCGGUUUCGCAAGUCAGCUGGGAAAGCCCAGGGCUUAACCCUGGAAGGGCGGUUGAGACUGCGGGACUAGAGUCCUAGAGGGGAGAGCGGAAUUCCGCAUGUAGAGGUGAAAUUCGUAGAGAUGCGGAGGAACAUCAGUGGCGAAGGCGGCUCUCUGGAUAGUGACUGACGCUGAGACGCGAAAGCGUGGGUAGCAAACA
rnacentral:rRNA from 1 species